AUUGAACGCUGGCGGCAGGCCUAACACAUGCAAGUCGAACGGUAGCACAGAGAGCUUGCUCUCGGGUGACGAGUGGCGGACGGGUGAGUAAUGUCUGGGAAACUGCCCGAUGGAGGGGGAUAACUACUGGAAACGGUAGCUAAUACCGCAUAACGUCGCAAGACCAAAGUGGGGGACCUUCGGGCCUCACACCAUCGGAUGUGCCCAGAUGGGAUUAGCUAGUAGGUGGGGUAAUGGCUCACCUAGGCGACGAUCCAUAGCUGGUCUGAGAGGAUGAACAGCCAGACGGGAACUGGGAUACGGUCCAGAGUGCUACGGGAGGCAACAGUGGGGAAGAUUGGACAAUGGGCGCAAGCCUGAUGCAGCCAUGCCGCGUGUAUGAAGAAGGCCUUCGGGUUGUAAAGUACUUUCAGCGGGGAGGAAGGCGGUGAAGUUAAUAGCUUAACCGAUUGACGUUACCCGCAGAAGAAGCACCGGCUAACUCCGUGCCAGCAGCCGCCGCAG
rnacentral:rRNA from 1 species